rnacentral:rRNA from 1 species
GAGCCUGUGAGAUGCCGCGUGUGUGAUGAAGGCCUUCGGGUUGUAAACCUCUUUUGUCCGGGACGAAAGGGUGUGGUCUAAUACCUUGUGGUUUUGACGUUACCGUGAGAAUAAGCCCCGGCUAAAUCCGUGCCAGCAGCCGCGGUAAUCA